UGUGGGAGCGGGCUUGCUCGCGAAUGCGGCGGCACAUCCGACAUUGUGUUUGUCUGACCCACCGCUUUCGCGAGCAAGCCCGCUCCCACA
rnacentral:misc_RNA from 1 species